UCCACGUCUGGAGAGUGUGCACAAAAGAGCUAUGGGACAGGUCCUUCAAACAUGCCCACCCCUGUGCUGGAAGCCCGCCUCCUCUGGGGUGCCUUGCUUCACCAGUCAGGCUACAGCUCUCUUCCCUGAGCUCCUGUGGGAGCCACCUGUAGUGUCACAUUUUGCCUUGUAUUCUCUGCUAUCUUUCCACAUAUCUGGUCUCUCCAAAGAGAAGUCUCUGAGAUCCUCACAUACCUUCCCCCACCCCUACUCCCCAUGCUGGGCUCAGGGUUGGCAUGUAGAGGCACUGGGUGAAUGGCAGCUGAGUGGCUGAUGGAUAGGCUUCUCCACCUCCAGCCCAUCCUUCAACAGGGACCAUCUUGGGGUACCAAAAGGUAGUGGGGACAGGUCCCACUGGCUUAUUCCAAUAUUUUUUUUAAUAUGCUUUUCCUUCACGUAGGACAUAAGGCUAACAAAAACAUCACACAUCUUUGUUUUUGGCUGGACUCUUAUCAGCUUUAUAUGGUGACUCAAAUUAUCUCAUGCUAACCAGGAGCACUGACUGGAAGCUCUACAUGCUGAUGAAUUUUGAAACUGGAAAAGCAGGGUAAAACCAAAACCAAACCUGUUGCCGUUGAGUCAAUUCGAACUCAUAGCAACCCUACAGGACAGAGUAGAACUGCCCCAUAGGGGUUCCAAGGAGCGGUCGGUGGAUUCGAACUGCCGACCUUUUGGUUAGCAACCGUAGCAUGUCGUAGCUCUUAACCACUGUGCCACCAGGGCUCCAGAAAAGCAGGGUAGUCACUAAUAAAUCCAGUUUGAGAGGAAAGAAUUUCAAAAUAUGAAAUUUUGAGACUUAUGGAAAUUGAAAAAGAAAGUUCCAUGGUGCCAAAAGGUUGGGGACCAGUGACACGGACCAAACUUCCUCUACUCACCCCCAUCCCCCUAGUUCUUCAAUGUCUCUAUUGCUCAAUUUCCUCAUGUUUUCAGGAGGGUCAGAUGAAAGGGGAAUAAGAUAAAGCAUAGGAGGAGGGCCAUCAAACGACCCUGGAGGUAAACUGAGGCAUGGCUCAGACAGGGGGCUUCAGAAGAGUGGGGAUGGGGGAAGAGGUCGACAGACCAGAGGUCGAUACUCAGUCUAAGCCACUGUUCUAAAGGAGAUGGAAGAGGCCAAGGGGAAGGGUCCAAGAGAGAAGGGGUGGAGCAAGGGCAGCAGGAAGUCUAGGAGGCAGAACGUCUGGGGAAAGUGACCUCCCCUGCUGACCUCCUCUGGGUCCCUCCAGUUCAGGACCACUGGCUUCCAUCUACCCACCAUCCUCUCCAACUGCCACCAUCAGAGGUGAUGACUCUUACAAACCGGGAAACUUCCAAGGUGGUAAUUCUCUGGGAUGCUGCCGUGUACUCCACCUCCACCAAUUUCCGCAAUAGGUAAAGAAAUCUUUGGACGACCUGCCUCAGCUGAAACCUAUAUCCCAAUACCCACACUCAACCCAGGAGAGAUUAUUCUGCCCCCACACAGCACAGGUCCCCUCUGUCAACCUUCCUUCGCAAGAGGACAGGAGAACGAGGUCACAGGGAUGAAGUGUUACCCCGUAAAUGCUGAGGCAGCCCCAAACCCAACCACUCUCACUCCUGGGCCCCCAAUACUGCCACAUCCCAACAAGGCCUGAGAGGGGCAGAGUGGCCUGGGGAGGGUGGAUCCCAGCCAUGCAGGAGGAGGGCCAAGUUCAGGGGAAAGGCAAUCAAAUUCUCUGCCCCCCACACACUGUUAGCAUAGAGAAAACAGGUUAAAAUGAGUGCCGCUGGGCUACCUCCCAAGGAAACCAAGUCCCAAAGCGGGGGACCUGCCUGCAGCCCAAGGCAGCCAGCAGGGUGGCUGGAAGGCAAACAGGGCUGUAUGCCCUUUCCUUGGUGGGCACGAUGUGGGUCUGGAGCUGCUGGCAGGUCUAUGAGCCUCAUCAUCUGAAGCUGUUUUCCCAGCACCAGCUGGCACAGCUACAUCUUUCUCUCCAACUUCCUGAGGCUUCCCUGAGUCACUGCCCAGCUCAGGACUGGCAACACCCUGCCCUGCUCCCCAUCCACCCUUCCCUUGGCAAGCGAAGAGGAAGAAGAAACCUGCAGAGAUCAGCUACCCCCACCCCAGUGCAGCUCCACUGACAUCCCCCAGACUCAGGAUGUGGCCAGCCUUAGGGCCUUCCUCCUGGUCUCGUGUCUCCAAUUUUGGGAAGGAGGCAGUGGAGCGUCCCUGCUCUCAGAUAUUUACCUUGGGUUGGAAGGCGGGGGAGCCCAAGCGACCUCCCCCUCUCCUUCCCAAAGGCCAGGAAGGGGCCCGCUCAGCAGGCCGGUGAGGAGUUGGCAAGAAUCAGAGUCUCCAUCCCAGCCUGGCCUCCCCUUUGGUAUUUUUGCAGCUGGAGACUAUUAGUUGCAAGCAAAAUCCUUUGUUAUCCAACCUCCCUCCACCACAUUAUUUUCAUCCCUUUCCUAAAGUUCAGAUUCUCUGCUGCCCCCACCACACACACUCACACACAUGCAUGCACACUCACGUGCACACAUACACUUGGCCACCACUCCAAGGCCAGCGUAGAGAGAUGGGCUCAAGUAGGAGGAGUAUCUUCCCUCCAGUGCUCCCCUACAGGUGGUGUCUGGGCCUGUCCUCUCUGUCAUGUAACACGGGGUGGCGGGGUAGAGGUGGAAUUCCAGGCUACAACCCAGACGACCUGAGCAUUCUGGCUCCACAAACCCAGAGGGACACUGUUACCUCAUGGCCCAGCCUUCUCAGGGCUGACCCACCCCAGAGUGCCCUUCAAAAGGGCUCUGACCAAAAAGGCCCCCAAGCCUGAGGAAGAGCAAUCCCAAAUAAGCCAAAGGAGAGGGAUGCUGUGUUGUGAGGGGAAUUUGGAGGUGGUCUGAGGGCUGAGGAGUUGGGGAUGCAACACCGAGAAGGGAGGGUUAGGAAGUCAGGAGAAAGACGAGGGAGUCAGAGUGGAGACCACAGCCUGCCUGUGAUGACUCAAAAGACUUUCAGUUCCAGGCCCCAGAAUAGACCUGGGGUGUGUUUGUAACUACGGAGCCUCCCCACACCACUACCCAAUACAUAGCGCUCUCCACAACUCCAGUUUUUCUCAACGUCUCCAUUGUUUAUUUUGUUCGGUAGGCAUUUCCCUAAAUGUUGGCCCCCACCCCACCUCCAAGAAGACUCUGGAUUCAACUCUAGGAUUCUAAUCACUCUCCCUAAAAUAAAGAAACUCUGGGGAAGGCAGGGUGCCUCUAUGCCUUGAGAAUCUCCCAACACAACCACAUGCCCAUAGAUUGUAGGAGAGGGCAUGAGGUCUUUGGAUAGGGAAGGAGAAAUCUAUUUCCACUUUAACCAUAUCUGCUGUGAACACAGUUGAUCUGGCCCUCAUUCCCAGAACCUCUCAGCUCCCUCCUAUCCCUCUGCUCUGCCCAGAGCCCAGCCCGGCUCCAGAUACAAACAGCCUGGGUUUGAACCUGGUUCUGUCACAUUCCAACUGUGGGUCUAUGGGCAAGUGACUCAACUUCUGUUUCAGCCUCAGUUUCCUCAUCUAUAAAAUGGGAUAGUACAUUCACAGCACUUAGCACAGAGCCUGCACAUAAUAAACACUUCACAAAUGGGGGCACUGUUCCCAUCACCAUCCUCCCUCACCCUAGCCCCAUCCUUCACCAUCUUCUCCACCGAGCUACCUUCUGGGUCUCUGGCCAGAGCCUUCCUAACUAAAUAAAGGUGGACCCUCAAGGUGGGCAGUUUGAGGCUAACACCUACUAUCCUUCAAGACAAAGCUCAAGCCCCCAGAAAGAAGAUUUCCCUAUCACGGGCUUCCAUAACCCCGGUCAUUUAUUUUAUCACAGCCUGUUCACCUGGUACAAAUACUGUGAGGGCAGGGUGCUGUCUUUCAUCUCUGUACCAGCGCCUGACACACAUGUAUUGAUUUGUUCAACAAAUAUUUGUUAAAUACUGAGCCCUCACUCUGUUGUCCUAGAGUUGGGACAUCAUUUUUUCCCUUCCCUUCUACUGCCGGGAUCCUCCUUCACUGGCCUUGCUGAGACCUGGAACGCCCCGAGGUGGGGAGAGGACGAUCCAGCUGGUGAUCCACGAUGUUGUCAGAGCCCUUCAGGGACCUUGCUCAGCGGGCUGGGUGUGAGGGGGGUGGGGCGAUCGAUGUGAGGGGGCGGUGACCAGAGCGUGGAGGACUCUGACAGGCAAGCUUGGCAGCAGCUUUCCUGAAUGACUGUCCUUCCGCUCCUCUGGGUCCAAAGGGUCCUAACUUCAGCUCUUCCUUGUUCCAACAGCAAGCCCGGGGCUCAGCCGCAUCGUGUUACCACUCUCCUCUUGGCGCCCUUCCUGGCCCUGCUGGCACUUCCAGCCUGGGGUUUAUGCCCUGCUCCCUUCCCCUGCCUGGCCCAGGCCCCAAGAGUCCUGGGUCCCCAGGGAUGAGACGCCUUGGUUCUACAGCCCAACCGGUCUCAGGGUCUUCCCACUAUUGAGAAAUCCACUCUGGGCUCUAAAACACAUUUCUCUUGCUUAAGUUACUUCCUUUGGCUUGACAACAGGGAGGGGGAUGUUGGGAGCAGGCUGGGUGGAAAGGCAACUUCAAGGAGACAGCGGGGGAGGACAGGACAGGGAUGGAUCUGUGCCAGGAGACACAGGGCUGGCCCUGGCCUGGAGAGGAGUGAGAAGGGGCUAUUAAAUGAUUAGGAAACUCAGAAUGGGAAUGGAAGCAAAAGGGCUAGGAUGUAGGGGUCCAAGGCCAAAAACUGGGGUGGCUAAACACCCCCCUCAAGUAUUCUGACACCCUGUGGGUCAGAAAGGCCAAAAAGUGGGUAGUCAGUGUCCCUGUGUAAAGUCUGGAGGGCCUGGGGUACCCAGGUCAGUGGGAAGAUAGCUUCCCUUCCAGCUGGGGGAGCCAGUUCAUCACAGACCCAGAGGGGCUGCUGUUUGCCCCCGUCUCUGCUUUGCCCUAGCCGAAUCACUACCCCACUUCCUGCUGUGAUUUUAAAAACACAAAAACAAAGAUAGACUGAGGGAAAAGUGAAGUCAGCCAGCUGGACUAGGGGACCCAUUUCGCAACCUUGUUGCCUGCAAUCUAGGGGGCCUUUUUCUGGGCCUCCCUGUUCCCCCUCUUCUUCCCCAUGCCACACGGUGUGGGGAGGGAAGCCCCGGGACCACGGAGGGCCCCUCCAGAGCAUCCCCUCACAUACAGUCCAAAACUGCUAAGUGGCUUUGGCAAACUUUGUUUCCUUCAAGGCCUCUAUUAGCAGCCCUAGAACCUCAGGACACCCGUACCUUCCAGGGCCCCAGCCAAUAGUCUGCCCUCAUUCCUUCUCUCUACAAUGGAAACAUCCUCUGGCCCAGAGGAGUGGCAAAGCUGAAGGGAGAACAGGUCAGAGGCGCCCAGCCUAGGAAGUGCAGGGCUGAGAGCGUGUGAGGUCAGCAGGUGUGACCACUUGCAUGUCUGGAGCAGCCCUGCAGGAGGCUGGAUGGGCCUGAGGUUCCUUAAAGAGGUGGUCAGAAAAGUGGAGGCAGGGGCCGGGCAGGAAGACCAGAUCCUGGCUCUAUCACCCUAUUGACCCCAGUUUCUAGAGCUUCAGUCUUUUGUGUACCACCUUCCAAAUGCUUGCCAUGUUUAUGUACAGCUUGCACUAUUACUUACUAUUUCUUGAAAUCAACUCACUUUUCUAAUUUUGCUGCAUCCUAAGUAAUCUAUGAAAUCACAGGCUUGAUACUCUAGUUACAGAAGUUUCCUAAUGAAUAGUAAAUAAAACAUAACUAUUAUAAUAAAAAGGAGUCCCCAGUGGUACAUUGGUUAAGUGCUCAGCUGCUAACUGAAAGGUCAGCAGUUUGAACCCAUCACAGAGAAAGAUACAGCAGUCUGCUUCCUAAAGAUUAUGCUUUGGAAGCUACAUGGGGAAGUUCUACUCUGUCCCAUAGGGUUGCUAUCAGGCAGAAUUGACUCAACGGCAAUGGGUGUAUGUGGGUGUGCGUGGCACACAACCAUCAGUCAAAAGGUUGGCGGUUCAAACCCACACAGAGGUGCCUCUGGAGACAGACCUGUUGACCUGCUCCUGAAAGGUCACAGCCUUAAAAAUCCAAUGGAGCAGUUACUUCUACUCUGCAUACAUGGGGUCACCAGGCGUUGGAAUCGACUCCAUGGCAACUAACAACAACAACAUUCCGAUGUUUGUCCAUGCACAAUCUAAAAUCAAGGUGGACCCACCUUGGGAAACACGGUAUUGAAAACCAAGGGAAUUGUGCUCUCUAAGGGGUCUUCUAGUUCUUAGCUGCUUCAUUCUGCAGUCAUGGAAUGCGAAGUACUCAUGGACCUUGGCACCCUCUGGGGUAGCAGCAGAGGAGGGAGGGGAAGAGAUAGGUACUGAGUCCUCAAGACCACCAGAAAUCUAGGCUGAUGAAAGACACUGAGGCCGGGGGGUUGGGUCUGUAGCCUGAGGCCUUGGUGGAUGAACAAAGUGCACACAUAUGUGCACCUCCAGAAAAUGUAAGGUCUGUGGGUCUCCCUCUGCUCUUGAGUAGACAGAGAGGGAAGGGAAGGAGCUGGGAUCGAGACAGGAAUAAGCUGCACCUUCGAGCCUGAGCCUGGCUCCAAAGAGCCUUCCCCUGGAGCUCCACCGACCACCACAGUGCCUUGGUGGGCUUCUGAGGGUGCACAGGACUCAGAACAGCUCUGGCACACACAAGCCCUGGGACCCAUGUGAAGCAGGCUCACUUCCUAGCCUCCUUCCUUCUUUCUAUUCUAUUUCUGUUUCCAGUUUUCUGUGGGGCAGGCUCUCCUUCUCCCACACCAGCAGGCCAGCUGCCCGGCUCCAGCACUUCUCUGUUGUCAGAUCCCUCUCCCCUGUGACCACCCCUUUAGGGGUCCAAUGGGGGUCACAGUCACAGCUCAGAAUAGAAUGAUUGCAGGGAGAGCUGCCCCAGUGGCAGAGAGAAAGCAGCAGAAAGCAGCAGCCUCUCUUCUUCCUCUUCUUCCCCUUCCUCCCUGGGGAGCUAAUUAUAGGCCAGCAGCCCACUGCGCAGGUGAGUGCCUGGGACCUGGGACCAGCCACCUGCACUCCAGGGCAGGCCAUCCAGCCUCUCCUGGGAAGGGGGAUGAACUAGGCUGGAGGGGUAUGCCGGGGAGAGACACUUCCGACACCCUCUGCUCAGGGCCCAUAAUUAGUUUGUGGGAUGAGAAUGAAACAACCAUCUUCAGGGUAACAGCCAGACAUUCAGGCAGCAUGGGGCGUGGGUGGGAGCAGAGUGGGGAGGGAGGGGCAGAGACCCAGCAAGGGUACCCACUCAUCCAGCCACUAGCGUUUCCCCAGAACCUCCUGGACUCUGCCCCAGGGGGGCCCAGUGCAUCUCCUGACUGGGAGGCAGGCUCUGUUUGCCAAGGGAGGGUGCCUGCCUGAGGUUAUUUCCUCCUCUAGGGGAAGAAGGCAGGAGAGGGGCCCAAGCAGAAAAGCUGAGAGGGUUUCCACCAGGGCACCCCCAGCUGCCUACUCACGAGCCCACUGUCUGGCCCUGAGGCAGGACCGGGGAGAGAACUGCCAGAGCUGUUUAUCCAGACAGGCCUACUGGGUGGCGUAGUGGACAGGAAGCAGAGGCUAUCUCCUGGGGUCUUGCCCCAAUCCUACCGUAUCUACCAUGAGGUUCUCUGAGGUGCCCACCCCCUCAAGAGCGCAUCCAACCAAGCUUGGCAGCCCCCAGCCCAGCACCCCAGGCAAGCCUUGGACACCAGCUGCCCAAAUACACCAUCAUCUGGGAUGCCAGAGGAGCCAGAGGCUGAGGUGUGGACCACAUGAUCAAGUCCCAGAGAGUGGGGGCUUUCAGAGGAUCCCCUGCUCUCCACCAUCCCCUCUCCCCCGCUACUAAUCCCCACCCCCUGCUGGGAUCUUUGUCUUUGGUGGGGAUCCGCACAUGGGGCUGAAAGAAGGCCCUUAAAGAUCUCCUAGAGAUGCCCAAGAUCCUCCCCAACCUCACAAUGCUAACCUCUACUGUGUGUGCUGUCCUUUACCACAGGCUUCCACUUCAAUUUAUCUGAUCCAGACAGGCAGGCUCAAACCCAUUAUGCAGAUUAGGAAACCAAAGCCAAAAAACCAAACCAAACCCACUGCUGUCGAGUUGGUUCCGACUCCACAGUGACCUUAUAGGACAGAGUAGAACUGCCCCAUAGGAUUUUCAAGGCCAUAAUCUUUAUGGAAGCAGACUGCCACAUCUUUCUCCCACAGAGCACUUGGUGAGUUCGAACUACCAAACUUUUGGUUAGUAGCAGAGCACUUUAACUACUGAACCACCGGGGCUCCAAGGAAACCGAGACCGGGACUUCUGCUUUGCUCAAGGUCACAGAUCGAGUUACCCUCCCUGGGGGUCCAAUCAACCACAGGCCACAGAUUCUUCUCCUCAGCAGCCCUGUGGUGUAUUUGGUGGAAAUGUGAUGAUGCCAGAUGUUGAUUUUCAAGCUGUUGGGGUUUUUGUUUAUUUGUGUGACAGCAUCUAGGAUGAGCGGGACUGCUCCAGGCGGUGCUCCCGCCCCAUCCCAUGACACCCCUUCUUCCACCCUCAAGACAGCCCAGGGAAGGAGCCUGAAUGGGAACAUCAGGCUCUCUUAAAGUGCUCACGUGGCCCUGGCCCUCACUGCUCCUCCCCUAGUCUUACUGCCACAAAGCCCCGCACGCACCCUGCAGCGGGGGAGUCCACUCUGGGGAUGACCCUGAGGGCAAUGAUGAACAAGGAGCCGCCCCGGCUCCUCCGUUCUCAGCCACAGCUAAGCGGGGCUCCCCAGGGCUCCGGGCCCCUUCUUUUCCUUGCCCCAGCUCCCGCUGCACAGGACAGCCUCUCUGAGGUCUAUCAUUGCUGCUCUCUCUGCCUCCAUGAAUGGGACACAGUCCCUGGUCUCUGGAGACUGACUAUGCUUUGCUCCCUCAGCCCUGGCUUCUCCUCUGAAUCCCUCCUCAGCCAGAAAGGCAGGAGCUCUGCAGAGGCUUGCUCAGAGAGAGAGAGAGGAAACAUAGCUGUGACUGGGACCCUGCCCCAAGCAGGCAUCACCAUGAAUAGCCCCCUGCCUCCCACACAGGGGUUGUCCUGACUAAAUUCCCACCUUCACCCCUGACAGGGGUCAUCCUGUCCAACAUUCUACCGCGUUCAGGAGCCAUCCUGUAAAGCCCCAGCCUCGGCCCCAGACAGCAUUCAAUUUGCCCAUCUCCUCUGCUCUCUGAGCUAGGAGCAGGCUACUCACGGUGCAGGCUGAGGGAGAUGUUGAUGGUGUGCUCAUCCACGAAGCCCUUCAAGCCAGGCAUGCGGGCACACUUGAGCUGCGUCUGGGCGGCACUGUCCCCAACAUGCACCCAGCACACGGUCUCAUUGGCAUAGCUGAAGUCCAUGGCUGUGGUCUGCCGUGUGCUGGUGGGUGUAAUGGUCGACACCUGGGCCCCACUCAGGUAUGUCGCUAGGAUGUUCUGGGAGUUGGCAAUCAGUAGGACAGGGGGCCGGUCUACUGGCUCUGGGGAUGGGGGGAGAAGGGUCAAUGCGGUCAGGGGCCUGAGGACCUCCCAGGCCCCCACCCAUCAAGGAGUAGCACUGAAGGCACUGAGCCUGUGGCCACAGGUCAUCCCACCCACCAUUCUUGGCUUUGCAGGAACGGUUGUCUGGCUGCAGCAGGUAUCCUUCGACGCAGCCGCACGUGAAGGAGCCAUCCGUGUUGGUGCAGAGCUGGCUGCAGGUGCCGUACACUGAGCACUCGUCAAAGUCUGCCGGAAAAAGGGUGAGACUGUGGUCAUUUCCAGUACAACAUGGGCAGGGAAGUGAGUGCCCUCCAACAUCAUCAGUGGGGGUGCCCGUUCUUACGGCUACUUUGGAGGACAAUUUGGCAGAAUCUGUUAACAUUUGAGAUGUGCAAACCUUAUGACUGAGCAUGUCCAUUUUGGUACCUGCCCUAGAGAAACAUCCGCAUGUGUGCACAUCCAUUUAUUCAUUCAGUAAAGAUUUCUUGAGUAUCUACUAUGUGCCAGGUACUGUUCUAGACUCAGGGGUAAACAAAGACCCAAAUUUCUGCCCUCAUGAGAAUUAUAUUCUGAUAAUAAAUAACCAUUAUCACAAUAAUAAAUGAAACAAAAAGUUAAAUCAUAUGCUAGAGGUGCUAGUGCAAUGGCAAAUGGCUGGUGCUAUGGAAAAAAAUCAAGCCAAGAAAGGGGACAGGGAAUGUGGGUGGUAGGGGUGUGACUUCAGAAUAGUCAAGGACGGCCUCACUGAAAAAGUGGCAUUUGGUCAAAGACCUGAGGGAGGCAAAUUUAAACCAGAAAAUGUGCAUUGUUUGUAACAGACAGAAAUUGGGAACAUAUUACUCAUCAAUAGGGGGAUGGCAAAGUAAACUGUGGGAAUAGUCGUACGUCACAGUGGUUUUUUAAAAGAAUGAGGUAGAAAAAAAAAAAAAAAGA